UACAGAGGGUGCAAGCGUUAAUCGGAAUUACUGGGCGUAAAGGGUGCGUAGGUGGUUAGGUAAGUUAAGUGUGAAAGCCCCGGGCUCAACCUGGGAAUGCCGCUUAAUACUGCCUAACUAGAGUAUUGUAGAGGAAAGUGGAAUUUCCGGUGUAGCGGUGAAAUUCGUAGAUAUUCGCAGGAACACCAGUGGCGAAGGCG
rnacentral:rRNA from 1 species